rnacentral:rRNA from 1 species
GUCGAACGGCAGCGGGUCCUUCGGGAUGCCGGCGAGUGGCGAACGGGUGAGUAAUGUAUCGGAACGUGCCCAGUAGCGGGGGAUAACUACGCGAAAGCGUGGCUAAUACCGCAUACGCCCUUAGGGGGAAAGGCGGGGAUCCUUCGGGACCUGUCACUAUUGGAGCGGCCGAUAUCGGAUUAGCUGGUUGGUGGGGUAAUGGCCUACCAAGGCGACGAUCCGUAGCUGGUUUGAGAGGACGACCAGCCACACUGGGACUGAGACACGGCCCAGACUCCUACGGGAGGCAGCAGUGGGGAAUUUUGGACAAUGGGGGCAACCCUGAUCCAGCCAUCCCGCGUGUGCGAUGAAGGCCUUCGGGUUGUAAAGCACUUUUGGCAGGGAAGAAAUUGCCUGGGUUAAUAGCCUGGGCCGAUGACGGUACCUGCAGAAUAAGCACCGGCUAACUACGUGCCAGCAGCCGCGGUAAUACGUAGGGUGCGAGCGUUAAUCGGAAUUACUGGGCGUAAAGCGUGCGCAGGCGGUUCGGAAAGAGAGAUGUGAAAUCCCAGGGCUCAACCUUGGAACUGCAUUUUUAACUACCGGGCUAGAGUGUGUCAGAGGGGGGUGGAAUUCCGCGUGUAGCAGUGAAAUGCGUAGAGAUGCGGAGGAACACCGAUGGCGAAGGCAGCCCCCUGGGAUAACACUGACGCUCAUGCACGAAAGCGUGGGUAGCAAACAGGAUUAGAUACCCUGGUAGUCCACGCCCUAAACGAUGUCAACUAGCUGUUGGGGCUUUCGGGCCUUGGUAGCGCAGCUAACGCGUGAAGUUGACCGCCU